GGAAACGUGGCAGAGGUGGCUUAAUGCAUCUGAUUUGAAAUCAGAAAGGCCGUGAGGCUUCGUGGGUUCGAAUCCUACCGUUUCCGCCA
rnacentral:tRNA from 1 species